GCGGCCGCACUGGCCAGCAGCCCCUCCGAGGGCUGGCUUCGGACCAAGGCCAAGCACCAGCGUGGCCGAGGCGAGCUUGCCAGCGAGGUGCUGGCUGUGCUAAAGGUGGACAACCGUGUUGUGGGGCAGACGGGCUGGGGGCAGGUGGCCGAACAGUCCUGGGACCAGACCUUUGUCAUCCCACUGGAGCGAGCCCGUGAGCUGGAGAUUGGGGUACACUGGCGGGACUGGCGGCAGCUAUGUGGCGUGGCCUUCCUGAGACUUGAGGACUUCCUGGACAAUGCCUGUCACCAACUGUCCCUCAGCCUGGUACCGCAGGGACUGCUUUUUGCCCAGGUGACCUUCUGCGAUCCUGUCAUUGAGAGGCGGCCCCGGCUGCAGAGGCAGGAACGCAUCUUCUCUAAACGCAGAGGCCGCCUUCCGGGACUUCGACUUUGUGUCAGAGCGAUUCCUGGAACCCUGAGGGCAUCUCCUGGCACCUCUGUCCCCUUCCCCCACAGACUGUUAGAGCCUCUGCUCGUUCACCCGUGCGCCCUGCCUGGAGGUCCAGGCCUUGCUGGGUACUUCUGAGCCCUUGGGAUUCAAAGUGGCAGCCAU
rnacentral:lncRNA from 1 species